AUUCCUCUAUUCUGAUCCUGAUUACAUGAAAGUACUUCAUCUAUUUUCCUUUUCAAAUUUUUGGUACCAUUUAUUAAGAUUAAUAGUGGCAUGUGUC